GCUGGAGUGGCGGAAUUGGUAUACGCGCUAGCCUUAGGAGCUAGUGCUCGCAAGAGCUUGGGAGUUCGAGUCUCCCCUCCAGCACCA
rnacentral:tRNA from 1 species